rnacentral:rRNA from 1 species
UACGAAGGGGGCAAGCGUUGUUCGGAAUUACUGGGCGUAAAGGGCGCGCAGGCGGCUUGUUAAGUCAGAUGUGAAAGCCCCGGGCUCAACCUGGGAAUAGCAUUUGGGACUGAUGGGCUAGAGAUCGGGAGAGGAGAGUGGAAUUCCCAGUGUAGAGGUGAAAUUCGUAGAUAUUGGGAAGAACACCGGUGGCGAAGGCGGCUCUCUGGACCGAUACUGACGCUGAGGCGCGAAAGCGGUGGGGAGCAAACAGG